UGGUUCAAAUAUUUGGCAAGGAAAGAACGAGCUGAAGAGUUCGUUAUCUGCCGUAACCGGUCGCUGGUUCAAGUUCAACUAGAAUGUGGCUUUUACUCCCAGGGAGGGUAAUAGGCCCUACAGCGGUGUACCGAUGGUAGAAGAUCUUUCCAUGGAGUCGUUUUGCUUGAUAAUGCAGCACAAAGUGGGAGGUAAACUCCUUCUAAAGCUAAAUAUUACCACGAGACCGAUAGCGAACAAGUAACGUGAGG
rnacentral:ncRNA from 2 species